UGAGGAAUAUUGCUCAAUGGGAGAAAUCCUGAAGCAGCAACGCCGCGUGGAGGAUGAAGGGUCUAUGACUUGUAAACUCCUGUAAAGAAGGAAAAAAUUCCCAUUUGAUGGGAGAUGAUGGUACUUCUGGAGUAAGCCCCGGCUAACUACGUGCCAGCAGCCGCGGUAAUACGUAGGGGGCAAGCGUUGUCCGGAUUUACUGGGUGUAAAGGGUGCUCAGGCGGAUUUGUAGGUCAGAGGUGAAAUCUUACAGCUUAACUGUGAAACUGCCUUUGAUACUGCAAGCCUAGAGUAUGGAAGAGAGUGAUGGAAUAUCUGGUGUAGCAGUGAAAUGCGUAGAUAUCAGAUAGAACACCAAUGGCGAAGGCAGUCACUUGGUCCAUUACUGACGCUAAAGCACGAAAGCGUGGGUAGCAAACA
rnacentral:rRNA from 1 species